rnacentral:tRNA from 1 species
GGUCGCGUGGCCAAAUGGCAAGGCGUCUGGGCUACGAACCAGAAGAUUGUGGGUUCGAUCCCCACCGUGACCU